CUGGAAAGUGUACCAGAUCGUUAUCAAGUAAUAUAAAAUGGGUAAGUCCAAGUAUCGUUUCCCAAAGGACUCUUAGGCCUUAACUUUCAUGUAAACCAAUCGCAUAAGACUUGAGAAAAGAAUUAAAUUUUAGGUUUUGUAUGCAAGACAAAAGUAAACAUGCAAGAUGCAGUGAAUCAAUUGGCUAAAAGAAACUAUGAAUGAAUGGAGUUCUUGGGGUUUACAAUUUCAUCUUAUCCA
rnacentral:lncRNA from 1 species